UUGAGGUGACAGCUGUACAGCCAGCCGCAAGCCUCUAGCGUUGGAGGAAGAAAAUGCAAAGAGUUGUAUCAAUGCCUGAGGCAGUGCCGUUCACCUGCUUCUUGAUCUCACUUGGGAAACAACACGCCAAUAACUAACCCAAACCAAAACCAGAAACAAAGCAACCACCCUCCACACCAGAAAAGCUCUGGGCUGCACACUUUGGGAUAGGGGAAUAAAGCCCGGAGCACAUCACUGGUCCUACAGCAGCACUACUUGUCAAGUGGGAACCUCACUUCAGGCUACCGACCCUAGGAGGUCCCAAAAGCAACAGCUUGGCAUUCAAAAUCUAUUCAAUAACACAUUAUUGAUGUGAAAGGAAAAAAACCUCCUCUUUUCAGCCAGCAGCCGGCUUCAGUUACUGAAGAGUAAGGGACAUGCAUCUUGGAUCAGUUAAUAGGGGAGAGAAGACACAGCAGGGAGAGGACAGCAAACUCCAGCAGGAGUUCAGGUCUUUCUGAGCAGAGGCCACAACCCUCAGCUACCAGCCUCCUCAGGUGUCCAGGCAGCAGCAGACCCAUUGCGUUCCUCCACAAUAACCUUCUCCAUUAACAGCAGCACCUUCACUUGCAGCAACCCGCAGCAACAAUGGAUGCUGUCCUCCUCCUCCCCUCCAGAAGAAACUCAGCGUGCAGCCCCAGAGACCGCACUUCCAAGGCCAUGUUUGCCUUCAACGAUCUCUGGAGGAAGCAUCCAAGAUUAAGACUGCACACACCUCUGAAAAGAGUGCUGAAGUAUGACACCCCUUGAAACUGCUGGUUCUUCAGACAGCUUCUGAUUUAAUAGAAGAAUGUCCCUUCACAAACUUUCAGCACUUUUACAUGCUUUUACUGAAGUCUACAAAGACAUAACUGUGAUUUGGAUGACAUAUACCAAUUCCCUUUUCUGCAACAUAGCUAGUGUGGUAACCAGAUGAAAAACAGACACUAAUAUUUUGCUGCAGAAUUACAAAACUCUUUAAAUGGAGAAAACCUUGAGAGAAUCACUCAACACAAAGCUGCUGUAGUGAAAGCUCAUCAGAUCAAGAAGAAACAUGCUGAUAUUCUAAGUUGCCUGCAUUCUCGUAGCUAAGGAUUGCUAUAAUCCUUUUAGCAUCCUUAUAUAAUCCUUUUUGGGAUCAAACUGUUAACAGAAGUAAUUAUGCCUGAGGAAACAGAUCUCAGGCAUGAAUUGAAUAGCACAGUUCAGUUGGAAAUUACUUUUCAGACAAUGUGUAAAAAGAUAUCUCCAAUCCUGUGGCUGUUACAAAACAAAAACACCUCACCGGGAAGUUUGUCAUAUGAAUCUAUACUGUACAAGAUCUUUCUCAACAUAAAAAUCAUGAUACUUAAUAUUAAAAAGGCAAAAC